CCUACGGGAGGCAGCAGUGGGGAAUUUUGGACAAUGGGGGCAACCCUGAUCCAGCCAUUCCGCGUGAGUGAAGAAGGCCUUCGGGUUGUAAAGCUCUUUCGCAAGGGAAGAAAACUUAUGAUCGAAUAAAUCAUGAGGUUGACGGUACCUUGAUAAGAAGCACCGGCUAACUACGUGCCAGCAGCCGCGGUAAUACGUAGGGUGCGAGCGUUAAUCGGAAUUACUGGGCGUAAAGCGUGCGCAGGCGGUUUUGUAAGUCGGAUGUGAAAUCCCCGGGCUCAACCUGGGAACUGCGUUCGAAACUGCAAGGCUAGAGUGUGUCAGAGGGGGGUAGAAUUCCACGUGUAGCAGUGAAAUGCGUAGAGAUGUGGAGGAAUACCAAUGGCGAAGGCAGCCCCCUGGGAUAACACUGACGCUCAUGCACGAAAGCGUGGGGAGCAAACAGGAUUAGAUACCCUGGUAGUCCACGCCCUAAACGAUGUCAACUAGUUGUUGGUAGAGUAAAACUCUAUGAGUAACGUAGCUAACGCGUGAAGUUGACCGCCUGGGGAUCGGUCGCAAGNUUAAAACUUNAAAGUAUUG
rnacentral:rRNA from 1 species